AGCCUUGCACACACACACUGGAGUAAUUCUUUCACAGUGGUGAGCAAUGACUGAAAAAGAAAGAAAAAGGAAAGAGAUUGAAACUUGAAAGGCAAAGAGAGAACAGUAAAGUUGGAUCUUUGAAGAAUGAAGAGAAACUGAAGAAGAGGAAGAAAAUGUAGGAAAUUGAGGACAAAAAUUCAGAAGAGAUAGAAAUGGCAAAUGAUCC
rnacentral:misc_RNA from 1 species